rnacentral:rRNA from 1 species
ACGAUGAUUACUAGGAGUUUGCGAUAUAGUGUAAGCUCUACAGCGAAAGCGUUAAGUAAUCCACCUGGGGAGUACGCCGGCAACGGUGAAACUCAAAGGAAUUGACGGGGGGCCCGCACAAGCGGAGGAACAUGUGGUUUAAUUCGAUGAUACGCGAGGAACCUUACCCGGGAUUGAAAUGUACCUGACGAGCCGUGAAAGCGGUUUUCCAGUAAUGGCGGGUAUGUAGGUGCUGCAUGGCUGUCGUCAG